rnacentral:rRNA from 1 species
GAACGGGUGAGUAACACGUGGGUAAUCAACCCCCGACACCGGGAUAGCCCGGGGAAACCGGAUUAAUACCGGAUGCUCCGUCUGGCCUUCGGGCCGGCCGGAAAAGGGUAGCUUCGGCCUCCGGUCGGGGACGAGCCCGCGGCGGAUUAGCUUGUUGGUGAGGUAAAGGCUCACCAAGGCGACGAUCCGUAGCUGGUCUGAGAGGACGAUCAGCCACACUGGGACUGAGACACGGCCAGACUCAUACGGGAGGCAGCAGUAGGGAAUCUUGCGCAAUGGGCGAAAGCCUGACGCAGCGACGCCGCGUGAGGGAAGAAGGCCUUAGGGUUGUAAACCUCUUUCAGGAGGGACGAAGCCACUCGGGUUAAUAGCCCAGAGGGUGACGGUACCUCCAGAAGAAGCCCCGGCUAACUACGUGCCAGCCGCCGCGG